rnacentral:rRNA from 1 species
UACGUAGGGUGCAAGCGUUGUCCGGAAUUAUUGGGCGUAAAGAGCUCGUAGGCGGUCUGUCGCGUCGAAUGUGAAAAAUCCGGGGCUCAACCCCCGGACCUGCAUUCGAUACGGGCAGACUAGAGUUCGGUAGGGGAGUCUGGAAUUCCUGGUGUAGCGGUGAAAUGCGCAGAUAUCAGGAGGAACACCGGUGGCGAAGGCGG